UCUCCGUUGGUGAACCAGCGGAGGGAUCAUUAUAGAGUUUUCUAAACUCCCAAACCCAUGUGAACUUACCAUUGUUGCCUCGGCGGGCUACCCUGUAGACCGCCGGUGGACCAUUAAACUCUUGUUAUUCUAUGGAUAUCUGAGCGUCUUAUUUAAUAAGUUAAAACUUUCAACAACGGAUCUCUUGGUUCUGGCAUCGAUGAAGAACGCAGC
rnacentral:misc_RNA from 1 species